ACGCACGCUGGCGGCGUGCUUAACCCCUGCAAGUCGCACGGAAAGGCCCUGCCUGCAGGGUACUCGAGUGGCGAACGGGUGAGUAACACGUGGGUGAUCUGCCCUGCACUUCGGGAUAAGCCUGGGAAACUGGGUCUAAUACCGGAUAGGAGCCAUUUUUAGUGUGAUGGUUGGAAAGUUUUUUCGGUGUAGGAUGAGCUCGCGGCCUAUCAGCUUGUUGGUGGGGUAAUGGCCUACCAAGGCGGCGACGGGUAGCCGGCCUGAGAGGGUGGACGGCCACAUUGGGACUGAGAUACGGCCCAGACUCCUACGGGAGGCAGCAGUGGGGAAUAUUGCACAAUGGGCGCAAGCCUGAUGCAGCGACGCCGCGUGGGGGAUGACGGCCUUCGGGUUGUAAACUCCUUUCGCUAGGGACGAAGCUUUUUGUGACGGUACCUAGAUAAGAAGCACCGGCUAACUACGUG
rnacentral:rRNA from 1 species